UGCCCUACGGGGGGCAGCAGUGAGGAAUAUUGGUCAAUGGCCGAGAGGCUGAACCAGCCAAGUCGCGUGAGGGAAGAAUGUCCUAUGGAUUGUAAACCUCUUUUGUCAGGGAGCAAAGUCACCCACGUGUGGGUGUUGGAGAGUACCUGAAGAAAAAGCAUCGGCUAACUCCGUGCCAGCAGCCGCGGUAAUACGGAGGAUGCGAGCGUUAUCCGGAUUUAUUGGGUUUAAAGGGUGCGUAGGCGGAAUGCCAAGUCAGCGGUAAAAUCGCGGGGCUCAACCUCGCUCCGCCGUUGAAACUGGCG
rnacentral:rRNA from 1 species